GGCCCCGAGGUGAACAGCAUCACGUUGAAUUGCAAAUUCAAAGGAGUAGGGUGGCCUACCGGGGCCU
rnacentral:tRNA from 1 species